rnacentral:rRNA from 1 species
UACGAAGGGGGCUAGCGUUGCUCGGAAUCACUGGGCGUAAAGCGCACGUAGGCGGAUUGCUAAGUCAGGGGUGAAAUCCUGGAGCUCAACUCCAGAACUGCCCUUGAUACUGGCGGUCUCGAGUCCGGGAGAGGUGAGUGGAACUGCGAGUGUAGAGGUGAAAUUCGUAGAUAUUCGCAAGAACACCAGUGGCGAAGGCAGCUCGCUGGGACGUUACUGACGCUGAGACGCGAAAGCGUGGGGAGCAAACAGG